CCAUUCUGCUUCAACGAACGUGGUUGUUAGUGUGCUGAGCUGGUGUGACUAUUGAGCAUUGAGGAAGACCCACCUGCUCCGGAACGGAGAAGGAACUCGAACACCUUCUACUCGAGAUGCGUGAGGAGCAGGUCGUUUUUGGCCCUGCGACAACGAACGGACCGUCCACCAUCGCAGAUGGCGCACUUUGGGUCGAAAGGUAGAAGAUCGCCAAAUUCCGAACAAUGGCGAACAUGCAGGACGAGCUGUACAUCACGAACAUCGCUAUCUUUUUCGAGCGCGCUCGAAGGCGCUGGACUCGAACGCCUAGCCCCGGUUCAUAUCUGCAGAGGACUCGCCGUUUCAUGUACUUGUUGCACGGAUCAACGUCCAAUAAACGUUAAAAUAUUCUGA